UUAACCUAUUCUCAAUCUCCCAGGCCUCUCGUAAUCUUGCGGUUCUCACAAUCUCUCAUAACCCCAGUCAUCAUCUUCCUCCACCCCAAUAAUCUUCCUCUCGCAAUCUUCGGAACUCACAAGUCACCAUCAGUCAUCCUCUCUCAAGAUCAACUCGAGCAGUACGUUCAUCAUCUCCAUCCAAUUCACCAUCUCACAAGCGCGCAAUAACAGCUGGUUUUCUACGCAAAGCGAAUACAACAAACAAGGUAUCUAACUGGUUCACCAGUGCAAGAGUGAGGCUGAAGCCAUUUGUGGAUGAAAUGCACGCGCUUGAGAGGAAAACUCAAUGCUCAAAGGCCGAAGAUACCGAGAGAAUCAUCGAUUUGUCAACUGACCACCAAACUUCGUUGCAUUCCCAACUUUCUGAGAAGUACUUCCAGACUACAUACUCUUGCAACUAAGAAAACUAGUUUAAGUACUACUCCAUCCCAAUUCGGCAAAUUCUCAUGAAAGUAAACAGGAGAAUCGCAUCGUGUCACCUGCUAAAGGAGGAGAGUUACAUUCUGCAAUAGCUCAAACUGAAGAUGAUCGUGAUACAGAAAAGGAAAGUCAAGGAUCGGAUAACUUUGAAUAUCAAUAUGAUGUGAAACUAAAAACUGGGAUGCAGACCACUGAUUUAGGCAAUAAUCACGAGAGGGAGAAGAAGAAAAUCGGUGCGCAUAUCCUUAAUUUAAGUGAUGAUGAGAGAGUGAAGAAGAGAAUCAGAAGGUAUGCAUCUGUAGAAACAGAACAAAAUGAAUGGUAUUGUAUGGGUCCACUUGGAGACAUCAGGGGACCUUAUAAAAUGUCAAUGCUCAAGCAAUAGAAUGAAUUAGCUGCUCCAUUUGCUAACAAGUUCAAAGUUUGGAAGAUAGGCCAGUGUGAAAAAGAUAGAGUGCCGUUGUCAGAUUCUUGUCGCUUAGUCUCCACAAUUAGCACUAGCCUGCUUUCUCUCUUUCUUCAAGCACAAGCAGUUCACACUAGCCCUUCUUUCAGAAUCAGAAGAAAUUGGCAAUUGGCAGAAUAUGGAGUACAUGUAUAUAUCAAAUAGUUUUACUUGGAUUACAAAGUAUUAGUAAUCUGGAAGAGAUAUUUUCUCCAAACCCAUACACUCAAGAGGAGAUCGAUGAUGUUCGAGAAAAAUGGCGUAGAUAUUUAUUAGUAGUUGUUUGUAGUCAUUUUCUAGUUUUCAGAGAUAGAAAUAAACUAUAACAAAUUGUAGGUUAUUUUUUGGAAUACAAUUAUUUAUACUUGUUGAACCAACUUUCUUGUUUGAAUUAAUACAAAAUAUUUUCGCAAUUCUGCAAA